rnacentral:rRNA from 1 species
GAUGAACGCUGGCGGCGCGCCUAACACAUGCAAGUCGAACGGUUAAGACGCCUUCGGGCGUGUAUAAAGUGGCGAACGGCUGAGUAACACGUGGGCAACCUGCCCCUCGCACCGGGACAGCCUCGGGAAACCGUGGUUAAUACCGGAUACUCCGCGCACCCCGCAUGGGGCGCGCGGGAAAGCCCAGACGGCGAGGGAUGGGCCCGCGGCCUGUUAGCUAGUUGGCGGGGCAACGGCCCACCAAGGCGAUGAUGGGUAGCCGGGUUGAGAGACCGACCGGCCAGAUUGGGACUGAGACACGGCCCAGACUCCUACGGGAGGCAGCAGUGGGGAAUCUUGCACAAUGGGCGAAAGCCUGAUGCAGCGACGCCGCGUGCGGGACGAAGGCCUUCGGGUCGUAAACCGCUUUCAGCAGGGACGAGGCCGCAAGGUGACGGUACCUGCAGAAGAAGCCCCGGCUAACUACGUGCCAGCAGCCGCGGUAAUACGUAGGGGGCGAGCGUUAUCCGGAUUCAUUGGGCGUAAAGCGCGCGUAGGCGGCCUGUUAGGUCGGGAGUUAAAUCCGGGGGCUCAACCCCCGUCCGCUCCCGAUACCGGCGGGCUUGAGUCUGGUAGGGGAAGGCGGAAUUCCCAGUGUAGCGGUGGAAUGCGCAGAUAUUGGGAAGAACACCGGUGGCGAAGGCGGCCUUCUGGGCCACGACUGACGCUGAGGCGCGAAAGCUAGGGGAGCGAACAGG